AUGGUCUUAGCUUGCUAAGGCCGAUGGCGACCGGCGCACGGGUGAGUAACACGUAUCCAACCUGCCGUCUACUCUUGGACAGCCUUCUGAAAGGAAGAUUAAUACAAGAUGGCAUCAUGAGUCCGCAUGUUCACAUGAUUAAAGGUAUUCCGGUAGACGAUGGGGAUGCGUUCCAUUAGAUAGUAGGCGGGGUAACGGCCCACCUAGUCUUCGAUGGAUAGGGGUUCUGAGAGGAAGGUCCCCCACAUUGGAACUGAGACACGGUCCAAACUCCUACGGGAGGCAGCAGUGAGGAAUAUUGGUCAAUGGGCGCAGGCCUGAACCAGCCAAGUAGCGUGAAGGAUGACUGCCCUAUGGGUUGUAAACUUCUUUUAUAAAGGAAUAAAGUCGGGUAUGUAUACCCGUUUGCAUGUACUUUAUGAAUAAGGAUCGGCUAACUCCGUGCCAGCAGCCGCGGUAAUACGGAGGAUCCGAGCGUUAUCCGGAUUUAUUGGGUUUAAAGGGAGCGUAGAUGGAUGUUUAAGUCAGUUGUGAAAGUUUGCGGCUCAACCGUAAAAUUGCAGUUGAUACUGGAUAUCUUGAGUGCAGUUGAGGCAGGCGGAAUUCGUGGUGUAGCGGUGAAAUGCUUAGAUAUCACGAAGAACUCCGAUUGCGAAGGCAGCCUGCUAAGCUGCAACUGACAUUGAG
rnacentral:rRNA from 1 species